rfam:Cavia porcellus supercont2_16 genomic scaffold, whole genome shotgun sequence.
GGUGAUUUAGCUCAGCGGCAUAAGCGCCUGCCUUGCAAGCAGGCAGUCCUGAGUUCUAUCCCCGGUACCG